rnacentral:tRNA from 1 species
GCCUGGGUGGCUCAGUUGGUUGAGCGUCUGACUUCAGCUCAGGUCAUGAUCUCACGGGUUCGUGAGUUCAGGCCCCACAUCAGGCU